ACCCUUCAGAGGGGGAUAACUCCGCGAAAGCGGGGCUAAGACCGCGUACGCUCAUUCUGGGGAGAACGGAGUGAGGAAAACCGCAAGGUGCUGAAGGAGGGGCUUCCGGCCCAUCAGGUAGUUGGUGAGGUAACGGCCCACCAAGCCGAUGACGGGUCGCUGGUCUAAGAGGAUGAUCAGCCAGACUGGGACUGAGACACGGCCCAG
rnacentral:rRNA from 1 species